UCACAUGAUGAUUAAACACUUUUAAUUAAUAACUUUCGUUCUACUGACUGCGAUCAAACGAUCUUGUAGAUAAACUAUAAUCUGAUA
rnacentral:snoRNA from 1 species